rnacentral:rRNA from 1 species
UACGGGGGGGGCAAGCGUUGUUCGGAAUUACUGGGCGUAAAGGGCCAGUAGGCGGCCAACUAAGUCGGAUGUGAAAUCCCCAGGCUUAACCUGGGAACUGCAUCCGAUACUGGAUGGCUUGAAUUCGGGAGAGGGAUGUGGAAUUCCAGGUGUAGCGGUGAAAUGCGUAGAUAUCUGGAGGAACACCGGUGGCGAAGGCGGCAUCCUGGACCGGUAUUGACGCUGAUGCGCGAAAGCCAGGGGAGCAAACGGG